AGUGAAUGGGAAGAGCUCAAUUUGAAAUCUGGCGUCCUCAGGGCGUCCGAGUUGUAAUCUAUAGAGGCGUUUUCCGUGCCGGACCGUGUCCAAGUUCCUUGGAACAGGAUAUCAAAGAGGGUGACAAUCCCGUACUUGACACGACGACCGGUGCUCUGUGAUACGUCUUCUACGAGUCGAGUUGUUUGGGAAUGCAGCUCAAAAUGGGUGGUGAGUUCCAUCUAAAGCUAAAUAUUGGCGAGAGACCGAUAGCGAACAAGUACCGUGAGGGAAAGAUGAAAAGCACUUUGGAAAGAGAGUUAAACAGUACGUGAAAUUGUUGAAAGGGAAACGAUUGAAGUCAGUCGUGACCGAGAGGCUCAGCCGGCUCUGCCGGUGUAUUCCCCUCGGUCGGGUCAACAUCAGUUUUGUCCGGUGGAUAAGGGCGGUAGGAAGGUGGCACCCUCGGGUGUGUUAUAGCCUGCCGUCGCAUACAUCGGGUGAGACUGAGGAACGCAGCUCGCCUUUAUGGCCGGGGUUCGCCCACGUCCGAGCUUAGGAUGUUGACAUAAUGGCUUUAAACGACCCGUCUUGAAACACGGACCA
rnacentral:rRNA from 1 species